rnacentral:rRNA from 1 species
GUGUAAGGGGCAGCUGAUCAGCAACGCCGCGUGAGGGAUGACGGCCUUCGGGUUGUAACCUCUUUCAGCAGGGACGAAGCGAAAGUGACGGUACCUGCAGAAGAAGGACCGGCCAACUACGUGCCAGCAGCCGCGGUAAUACGUAGGGUCCGAGCGUUGUCCGGAAUUAUUGGGCGUAAAGGGCUCGUAGGCGGUUUGUCGCGUCGGGAGUGAAAACUCAUGGCUCAACCCUGAGCGUGCUUCCGAUACGGGCAGACUAGAGGUAUGCAGGGGAGAACGGAAUUCCUGGUGUAGCGGUGGAAUGCGCAUAUAUCAGGAGGAACACCGGUGGCGAAGGCGGUUCUCUGGGCAUUACCUGACGCUGAGGAGCGAAAGCAUGGGGAGCGAACAGGAUUAGAUACCCUGGUAGUCCAUGCCGUAAACGUUGGGCGCUAGGUGUGGGGACCUUCCACGGUUUCCGUGCCGCAACUAACGCAUUAAGCGCCCCGCCUGGGGAGUACGGCCGCAAGGCUAAACU